rnacentral:rRNA from 1 species
GAUGAACGCUGGCGGCGUGCCUAAUACAUGCAAGUCGAGCGAACAGACGAGGAGCUUGCUCCUCUGACGUUAGCGGCGGACGGGUGAGUAACACGUGGAUAACCUACCUAUAAGACUGGGAUAACUUCGGGAAACCGGAGCUAAUACCGGAUAAUAUAUUGAACCGCAUGGUUCAAUAGUGAAAGACGGUUUUGCUGUCACUUAUAGAUGGAUCCGCGCCGCAUUAGCUAGUUGGUAAGGUAACGGCUUACCAAGGCAACGAUGCGUAGCCGACCUGAGAGGGUGAUCGGCCACACUGGAACGGAGCCACGGUCCAGACUCCUACGGGAGGCAGCAGUAGGGAAUCUUCCGCAAUGGGCGAAAGCUUGACGGAGCAACGCCGCGUGAGUGAUGAAGGUCUUCGGAUCGUAAAACUCUGUUAUUAGGGAAGAACAAAUGUGUAAGUAACUAUGCACGUCUUGACGGUACCUAAUCAGAAAGCCACGGCUAACUACGUG